GGAGGGUGCAAGCGUUAUCCGGAAUCACUGGGUUUAAAGGGUGCGUAGGUGGCACCGUAAGUCAGAAGUGAAAGUUUGCGGCUUAACCGUAAAAUUGCUUUUGAUACUGCGAUGCUUGAAUCAGGUUGAGGUUGGCGGAAUGUGGCAUGUAGCGGUGAAAUGCUUAGAUAUGCCAUAGAACACCGAUUGCGAAGGCAGCUGACUGGACCUGUAUUGACGCUGAGGCACGAAAGCGUGGGGAGCGAACAGGAUUAGAUACCCUGGUAGUCCACGCCCUAAACGAUGCUCACUCGAUGUGUGGCCAUUAGGUCGCGCAUCCAAGCGAAAGCGUUAAGUGAGCCACCUGGGGAGUACGUUCGCAAGAAUGAA
rnacentral:rRNA from 1 species